ACUCCUACGGGAGGCAGCAGUGGGGAAUAUUGCACAAUGGGGGAAACCCUGAUGCAGCCAUGCCGCGUGUGUGAAGAAGGCCUUCGGGUUGUAAAGCACUUUCAGUAGGGAGGAAGGUAGUGUAGUUAACACCUGCAUUAUUUGUACGUUACCUACAGAAGAAGCACCGGCUAACUCCGUGCCAGCAGCCGCGGUAAGUACGGAGGGUGCGAGCGUUAAUCGGAAUUACGUGGGCGUAAAGCGCAUGCAGGCGGCCUGUUAAGUCAGAUGUGAAAGCCCGGGGCUUAACCGUCGGAAUUGCAUUUGAAACUGGCAGGCUAGAGUCUUGUAGAGGGGUUAGAAUUUCGAGGUGUAGCGGUGAAAUGCGUAGAGAUCGUGAAGGAAUACCGAGUGGCGAAGGCGG
rnacentral:rRNA from 1 species